UCAUCCAAGUCCUGCUUUCCCUCUCUCCUUCCUUAUUUCCCUCUAUCCCUCUUUCCUUCCUUUACUUCUUUUUCUUUCCUUUUCUCCUUCUCUGAAGUAUUGGAAAGAUGAGGAUUUCCUCUAGAUUUAGAGCCUUGUAAUUUGUAUGCACUAAAUUCAAGUAUAAAUUUUAAUAUGUUUCUUAGUGAUGUGAAUAUUUCCCCCUCUUCUCUCCUCUUGUUUCUACCCUUCUCCUCACCUCCCCUGGAUCUCCUCUCUCCCCCCACUCCCUUUUCUUGGUGGGAAGAGGUAGAGAUUACAUAUAAGUUGCUUUAGCACUCUGGAUUGCCUCUGCAGGAUCCUAUUCCACUUUAUUCUGAGUGGCCCAUUUUCUAGUUUAUUUCUUGUAGACAGAUUCCCGAUCCCUGUUGUCUCUGCCUUGAGAAAAAGACAGUGUAAGAGUGGGUUUUGCGUGUGUUUAAAGUAAAUGGAGGAGCAAAUAGGAUCUUUGAGGACUAUGGCUAUCUGAAAAGCAAUUUGCCCCCUGAGCAGAAGUGCCCCAUCUUGCUGUGAAAAGUUAAAACAAAACCAAACAAAAAGGUACACCACAACUGCUGAAUUGGGCAAUUGAGAACCAGUUCAAUCUAUCUGAUGGAAGUAAAGUCUCUGCUGUUUUCAGUCGUUCUGGGUGAUGGGGGACGGCGCUGCUUCUCUACCUGCCUCUUUUGCUGCCAGUGUGGUGUCCUGGUGUGGCUGUGACCACCUGGAUCACAGAGAGCCUUAUGACAUCAGGGACAGCUGGGGAUCGCUUCCAAUGCCUGAGAAUUCACCUUUUAGCAGAUGACUUUGGUGUCUGGAAUUGAAAUUCAACCUACGCUUCUGGCAAACCAAACUCAUCAGUGCUGUCUACAACCUGCAAACACAGCCAACAAGGUGUAGGCAAUAAUGAGGCAGUGUGGAGGUGCCUGGAAGGUUCUCUCGCACCAUCGCACCGGGAAGGUGAGGUUAUCCUGAUUCUUCCAGAUGGAGGGUGGGGGCUGAAUUUCAAAGGAGCUGCAAGACUUGCUCUCACCCCACGGUUUAUUGGUGGCAGAAGACGGUCUUGCAUUCUGUCUGCCAACAUCCUGCCCAGGACUCUUUCCUCCUUUACCAGGUUGAUUUUCUUGGGUGAAACAUACAAACUCAGGGAUUGGACAUGCAGCAAAGUAAGUCAGUAAGUGGACACUAGUGACCUUUGUGUGGUCCCCAGGUCUGGUCCCUGGGGAAGGAUCAGGUGCAAAGCUGGGUUCAUUGAAUUACUUUGGCGAUACAAUUACCCCUCAGCUCUCCCGGCUGCUGUGAAAAGUGGCUUUCUAUGCAGUCAGGGUUGAUCGAAAUGAGGCUCAGGACUUCAGGUAAACAAAGUCCUAGAAGGCCUGACUGGGAAGGGACUUUCAAGAUUGGUGAGUCCAAUGCAUUCAUUUCACAUUAUGUGAACACUGACACAAGGUGCUUAUGUAAAGGACUGCCUCCUCUAUGAACACAGGGAGUUAGUUUGUUGUUAUUUCAACUCAAAGAAGGGCCAUGGUAGAGACUAGAAAUGUGUGUUCACUUCUAGUUAAACAUGGGAGAUUGGAUAUGCCAGUUUAGUUCUAUCUUCUUCUGAAACCCACUACAAUGAGGGUAAAGGGAUAUAAAGUAUAAGCCCACAAGGAUGAGGUGGAUGAUAGACGGGACAGAUACAGGCAUGCAAUGUCAACAGGAUCGUGACAGAUGGUAAGGGGUGCCAUGGAGUGACAAGUGAGGGGGCAGAGCUGAGAAAGCUGGGGCAUAACUGACUAAGGGGGUUGGGCCAGUCAGAAGCGGGUUGAUGAAGACCACAGAGUCCAGCAAGUUCAGGAAUGGAAUGUCUACAAAAGCAAAGAUGCCUUCGAAGACUAGUGUGGGGCAUGGCUGAACAAAGGUGUGUUUAAAAGCUUAAAUAAGGAAUAGAUGCCAAGCUUUCCAACAGUCUAGAGGACUCCAAGCUCUCCAAGCUCUCUUCAACAGUCUAGAGGACUGUCCUUCCCAGUCUAGAUGAAAGGCUGAGGUUACUCUCUGGAGAGACUGAGCCAGAGAGAAGAUUCUGGAUUGAAAUCCACCAGGCUCAGUGGUGCUACAGUGGAAACAGAAAUGAACGUUUGUUCACAUAGGAGCCCAGGCUCUUCUUCCACCUAUGCUCCUAGCAGCUUGGUUUGAAAGGGUUGGAGGAACCUCUAGAGAGAUGGAUUAGCUCAAGAGCAUAGGCUUAUAGUACCACUAUUUGUGAGUCCCCCAACAAAAUGACUGGGUACUUGCUUACUCACUCUAUGUUGAGCCCCAUAGUUGACAAGACCUGUGUAUGCAUUUGGGACUCCCAAUAAACUGUUUCAUUCUUGGCUCAAGGACAAAAGGGCCAUUGGGCAUUGGGUGGGAGUCUCCAACAUGAAAGAAGACCCAACCGAACAACAGCAGUGGAACCGAAAGAAAGAAAGAAAAAACUUGGAAGAGACACUAUUCAGGUUGUAGAAUAAAAUACCAGUAACAUAUAUUCUUAGAGAUAACAAGAAAAUGAUGUAUGGAAUAUAAACAAUAUGCUAGAAGAAGAUGAAUGAACAGGGAAUAAGUAAAAGAUCUUGGAAAUGUAAAAUGUGAUGACCAAAAUUAAAAAUUCAGUAACAAGUUUAGAAAAUAAAGUUUAGAGAUAAAGUUCACUUAUGUGAAAGGAACAGCUAAAGUUAUUUCAAAUUGGAAAGUACGGGAAAAAGAGGAGAGAAUAUAAAUAACUGCUGUAAACAGUAUUAAUGGUUGAUGGCAUAAGAACAUGGUGAUGUAUGUUUCAAUAUCUAAUGGAAUGAUACCAUCUGUGACAUUGUAUAUAUGGCAAAUAUUCCGAAGAAGCCCUUGGCUUUUGCUUAAUAAAACAUUAAAGCACCAUGAACCCA